AGCGAACGCUGGCGGCAGGCUUAACACAUGCAAGUCGAGCGGGCCCUUCGGGGUCAGCGGCAGACGGGUGAGUAACACGUGGGAACGUACCCUUUGGUUCGGAAUAACGCUGGGAAACUAGCGCUAAUACCGGAUACGCCCUUUUGGGGAAAGGCUUGCUGCCGAAGGAUCGGCCCGCGUCUGAUUAGCUAGUUGGUGGGGUAAUGGCCUACCAAGGCGACGAUCAGUAGCUGGUCUGAGAGGAUGAUCAGCCACACUGGGACUGAGACACGGCCCAGACUCCUACGGGAGGCAGCAGUGGGGAAUAUUGGACAAUGGGCGCAAGCCUGAUCCAGCCAUGCCGCGUGAGUGAUGAAGGCCUUAGGGUUGUAAAGCUCUUUUGUCCGGGACGAUAAUGACGGUACCGGAAGAAUAAGCCCCGGCUAACUUCGUA
rnacentral:rRNA from 1 species